rnacentral:rRNA from 1 species
CGGACCUCCAAUCAGUCAAGAUUACCCGNUGA